rnacentral:misc_RNA from 1 species
GAUGAAGAACGUAGCGAAAUGCGAUACUUGGUGUGAAUUGCAGAAUCCCGUGAACCAUCGAGUCUUUGAACGCAAGUUGCGCCCGAAGCCAUUAGGCCAAGGGCACGCCUGCCUGGGCGUCACACGUCGUUGCCCCCCCCAUCUACUCCUUCGGGAUUGCGGGGGGCGGAUGAUGGCCUCCCGUGCGCCUCGCCGCGCGGUUGGCAUAAAUGCCAAGUCCUCGGCGACGCACGCCACGACAAUCGGUGGUUGCGAAACCUCGGUUGCCCGUCGUGUGCGGUCGUCGCGCAUCGAGGGCUCGAAAAAAUUGCCGGGCUCCGGCUCGGCUUUCAACGCGACCCCAGGUCAGGCGGGGUUACCCGCUGAAUUUAAGCAUAUCAAUAAGCGGAGGA